rnacentral:rRNA from 1 species
UACGUAGGGGGCAAGCGUUGUCCGGAAUCAUUGGGCGUAAAGAGCGUGUAGGCGGCUUGGUAAGUCCGCUGUGAAAGUCCAGGGCUCAACCCUGGAAUGCCGGUGGAAACUGUCAAGCUUGAGUCCGGAAGAGGCGAGUGGAAUUCCUGGUGUAGCGGUGAAAUGCGCAGAUAUCAGGAGGAACACCAAUGGCGAAGGCAGCUCGCUGGGACGGUACUGACGCUGAGACGCGAAAGCCAGGGGAGCAAACGGG